AUUGAACGCUGGCGGCAUGCCUUACACAUGCAAGUCGAACGGUAACAGGUCUUCGGAUGCUGACGAGUGGCGAACGGGUGAGUAAUACAUCGGAUCGUGCCUAGUAGUGGGGGAUAACUACUCGAAAGAGUGGCUAAUACCGCAUGAGAUCUACGGAUGAAAGCAGGGGAUCGCAAGACCUUGUGCUACUAGAGCGGCCGAUGGCAGAUUAGGUAGUUGGUGGGAUAAAAGCUUACCAAGCCGACGAUCUGUAGCUGGUCUGAGAGGACGAUCAGCCACACUGGGACUGAGACACGGCCCAGACUCCUACGGGAGGCAGCAGUGGGGAAUUUUGGACAAUGGGCGCAAGCCUGAUUCAGCAAUGCCGCGUGCAGGAUGAAGGCCUUCGGGUUGUAAACUGCUUUUGUACGGAACGAAAAGCCCUGGGUUAAUACCCUGGGGUCAUGACGGUACCGUAAGAAUAAGCACCGACUAACUACGUGCCAGCCGCCGCAGUAAGAC
rnacentral:rRNA from 1 species